ensembl:snoRNA SNORD88B small nucleolar RNA, C/D box 88B
GAGCGCCCAUGAUGCCUAGCACUGGGCUCUGAUCUCCCAUGAGGAUACCGUGCCCCCCAGGACCUUGACAUCCGGGGGUCUGUGGGGCCC